ensembl:lncRNA
ACGCUUGUGUCUCACCCCAGACAAGGACUUCAGCCACACUGGGCCCCGUCCCCGCCUCAGGGCCGCUGGAAACUCCCACUCCAGGAGCGCGCUCAGCCCUGUGUGCGUGGUGUCCCUUUAUUAUCCUGAACUAGAAGACUGCUUCUCAGCAAAAUGGGCCUGCGGUCAGCUUGCCGCUGGUUGCAGCCCUCCCGGCUGACACAUGCCCGUGUGCACUGUAACCCACUCUGCUGCCUGUCCCGCCUGUCCCACUUGCCGAGAAGCCGCUGUCCUUACGUCAGCCCAUUUCACAGGCUGCCCUUCGGAGCCACCAGGGUCAAGGACCGCGCUUGCCGCCCUCCAUGGCUUUGAGCCCCAAGGCGAUGGCUCACAGGCAACUGUCCAGGAGACCAUGGAGGCGGGGACCCUCCGCUUACAGUGUCCGAGUGCGGACCGCCCGCUCUAGCUCAUGGUCUGCUGGCUGCAGGCCCAUCCCCUGCCUGGGGGCCGGACGGCAGGCCCGGGUCCGGAGGGUCAUGGCCAGAGAGGGGCCCUCAGGUCCUGGGCUCCCUGCCACCAUGAAGACGGCGCACGCACGUGUGCGAAGGCCCGAGACACACGCCCGAAAGAAACAGGAAACAGGACAGCGUCAUCUUCCGCAGGCGAGCUCAGCCUGUGGCUCCACCGCGCUCCUCGAUUCUGGGCUCUCCCAGCACAGACUCCAGAGGGCAGUGUCCGCAGUCACUGACUGCCCCAGGGGCAGCAUCAGGGUCUUUUCCAAGGAGUCAGAGCUUCCCUGGUGUCCCUUCAACACUGCUUUCCUGGGCUCCCGAGCUGAGGCCUGCUCCUGCCCUCCUGCUGAAGGCCCUGCACACGACGUGAGGCCGGGCCAACCGGAACGACAGAGUCUGGAGCAGAGAAAGUUUCACCACGGGGCUGAGCCAGAGGGCUGGGCGGCUCUUCUCAGGAGACCCAGACUCCCCAUUGGGCUUGAGGAGUCUUAGGGGCAGGAUGUGGGGCAGGGCUGCAAGGUGUGUGCCUUCCUUUGAGGAGGGCGUGGGAGAUGAGGGCAAGUGCCCAGGACCCUGGGCUCAGCCUGCAGUCCGUCCUCGGGGCGGGGGCCUCCGUCCUUACAGCAGCGCCGGGCAUCCGGCUGUGAGUCCUGGGGGCACAGGACUCUGCCCCCGCCCCCAAGGCUGCACCUUUGUUUCCUGGCCGCCCCUCCCUUCCCUGAUUGGCUACUGCUGGAAUCUGCACUUGGGAGGGAAGAGAAGGUCUAGGAGGCUGAAUCCUUUCUCCAGGAGGAAAUGGGGGAACGCAGAAAGGUUUCGUACCCGAGAGGGCCCCACAGGGUCCUGACUGUUUUCACUCCUGGGUUGUCAGCUGGGGGCCUUGCAAUAUGACUGAUUAGCAAGAGGAAAUCGAGCGUUUACCCACGGGGGCACCUCCUGUCCACAGCGGAGGCGCCUAGGCGGAGAGCACCUCAAAGAGGAGCCUGGAGUUCAGGAAGAAGAACCGUCUCCCGCUGGGCGUCCCUGGGGCUCAGACAGCAGAGGGUCCGCCCGGAAUGCCAGAGAUUCGAGUUCGAUCUCUGGGUCGGGAAGAUUCCCUUGGAGGAGGGCAUGGCUACCCACCCCAGUAUUCUUGCCUGGAGACUCCCAUGGACAGAAGAGCCUGGCGGGCUACAGUCCACGGGGUCGCAGAGUCAGACAGGACUGAGUGACUAACACUUUCAGCAUCUUCAGUUAAGGCUGAGAAAGUGUGUGGAGGCCAGUUGCAGGAAGGGGACUCAGAAUGAUUAACAGAUACAGAUACAGUCGUGCAGACUUCAGUCUCCGCUGAUUUGGUAUCAGCCUUCUCUCCUGACUCAGACAGGAGACUCCCUUACAAACAGAGAUUUCCCUUGUGGAUGAAAAAGCAUUUCUGCCAUAUCAGUAAACAAUGUUGCAGACAGCCGGCCCUUGUACCACGGUGGUGAGCCCCCAGGGAGCCUGGAAUGCGGACACUCCCAGGGUGGGGUGAGGGUGUUGCUUUGCUGGGCUAGCUUGCUGAGGACUUGCCGGGAGUGAGUGUCUCAGAUGGCUCUCAGGGAGAGCUCUGAAGAGGCGAGGGAGGAGCUGGGAUCCAUGGGAGCUUUUGCAACAAAGACCAGGUGGUUGGAGCAUGGGAAGAUACUAUUACUUACAGAAAACCAAGCAUCUCAGGUUGGUGGAUUUAGCCCCUUUCUGUGAAUGGGAAGAGGCGAGAGUCAGCUCACUGACGCCGCUCCCUUGAUGUGCAGCUCAGCUACCUGCCGGGCCAGUGUCCUGGGCUCUCUCACCCUGAGUCCCUCUGCCCCGGGGUGGCUGCAGCCCCUCUGUCUGCACUCCGAGUCCCCCCAGGACCCCCUUUCUGGGGCAGCUGUGGUGGCUGGGUGGCUGCAGCAUUGCUGGUCUACUCGUUAGCGCUAGGCACUCAGUCGGGUCUGACUCUGCGGCCCCAUGGACUGUAGCCCGCCAGGCCCCCCGUCCACAGGAUUCUCCGCAAGAGCACGGGAGCGGGUGGUCCUGCCUCCUCCAGGGGGUCCUCCUGCUUCGGCAGGUGGGUGCCUUACCACUGGCGCCACCUGCAGGGGCUGAUACGCAGCAGCGUGUUUCGCUCACAGCCCUGCAAGCCCAGUCUGGCGCCAGGGGGUGAGCUGCCAAGGACAAAGCUCACGUUGCCGGAGCGACUGCAGGUCUUCGCUCAGAACCUGGAAACCCUCACCUUCGGCAGGAGUGGACGUGAAACUCUGAGGUACUAGAUGGCAAACCUAGCAGCGGCCGUGGGAGGAUGCAGACCGGAAAAGCAUGAGACGGGCCGGCAGCCCUCUCCCUCAGAAAAGCCCGACGCCUCCCCGUCCUCAGCAUCGCUCCUCCUCCUCUGUCUCUCCUCUUGGGAAUUAAACCGCCCUCUCCAGGUGGGGCGAGAAUUGCUCUGUGAACUCGGUUCCUGCUUUUCCGUUCUUUCCACUGAAUUAAACCUGCGCUGUGUUGAUCUCUACUUGGUUUUAGCUGCUCCAGCCUGAAUGGGAAAGGAACGUCUCCUGCCAAGGCAGGGAGCCGCGGCCUGGCUGGGGCCUGAGCAGGGUCCCCACAGAUCAACUCGGUAGCAUGUGGAGGACCCCGGCCUGAGGCAGGAUCAGACUCUGGGGAGACGCAGCCUCAGGUGGGUGAGGAGGAGCUAAGACACUGAGCCCGUCCGUGGAUCAAGCAUGAGACAGGCCGAGAUUCAGAUCCAGACUCAGGAGACAUGCUCUCAUUGUGGAAAGAGAAAGGGAUUCUCCCCCUUGUUCUGCAGGAAAGAAAAAAUUCAAAAACGUGUCCAUGAGUUAAUCUUUCGAGCUUUUAUCAGAUAAGCCGAAAGUAUUUAAGAACAUUUUCGAAUCAACACUUCACUGGAUUCCCAGAAAUACUUUUGUAUUUUGGCAAUACAGCAAACGAUAAGACGUGAUUCCCAGCACAAGUGAACUGCAGAGUUCCGGCUCCUCUAGCCCUGGAGACGCAAGGCGGGAGCAGGAAGUCUGCUUGCUUCCGGUUAAGCAGCCGGUCUGGCCCCGUCAGUGCGGCAGCAGGUAGAACACAAGCGGGCGAGGAAGGGAGAUCUCAGGGAGACGCGUGGGGGUCUGCACCGGCAGGCAAGGGAGCAGCCUGUGAGUAUCGGUGUGAAGAAAAACUCACGUCUUAUGGCGAGACGAGGAAAAGUAAGCGUGGGAAGUCUCUGCCCUCUGGCCUCCUCUCCUGCACUGGGCAUCUCCUGGACCACCACAUUGGCAGGAACACCCGCCCAGCUGAAGAGCAGCCUCCCGCCAGCAUCAGCAAGACGACUCUUUAUCGACAGCACUUGUUGGUAAUCUCAGAAGAGGUCACAUGACCCACUGCAAUGAUGCCGUUUGCGUCUGACUAAGAACUGUUGCUUUGAUGUACAGUCCUGUGUCUCAGAACUCGUGUGUAACUGUGCCUUGAUUUCUGGUGGGUGGACCAGUUCUCAGGGCUUUCCGAGACGCUCCUCAGGUCAUAAUCCUUGACUCUGGCUCAAAUAAAGCUUUCCAUUUUUUUCUUAGAUCGACUGAUUAAUUGUUCAUCAAGUUUAACUUCUUAUUUUCCGGAUCCUCCUGAUGAUAAUCUAUUCCCUUCUUGCUUCUUUAUAACCAAGAGCCU